rnacentral:snRNA from 1 species
GUGCUCCUUCGGCGCACAUACAUUAAAAUUGGAUACAGAGCAAGAUGAGCAUGGCCCCUUGCAGGAUGACGUUGCAAAUUCAGAAAGUGUUCCAUAUUGUU